AUACGGAGGAUCCGAGCGUUAUCCGGAUUUAUUGGGUUUAAAGGGCGCGCAGGCGGCCAUUUAAGUCAGCGGUUAAAUCGUGGGGCUGAACCCCAUUCUGCCGUUGAUACUGGGUGGCUUGAUUGCGGUCGAGGUUGGCGGAAUUCGUUGUGUAGCGGUGAAAUGCAUAGAUAUGACGAAGAACACCGAUUGCGUAGGCAGCUGACCAGACCGCAAAUGACGCUCAUGCACGAAAGUGCGGGGAUCGAACAGGAUUAGAUACCCUGGUAGUCCGCACAGUAAACGAUGAAUACUUGUUUUCGGCGAUAUAAUGUCGGAGGCAAAGCGAAAGCGAUAAGUAUUCCACCUGGGGAGUACGCCGGCAACGGUGAAACUCAAAGGAAUUGGCGGG
rnacentral:rRNA from 1 species